rnacentral:rRNA from 1 species
CCUACGGGUGGCAGCAGUGAGGAAUAUUGGUCAAUGGACGAGAGUCUGAACCAGCCAAGUAGCGUGAAGGAUGACUGCCCUCUGGGUUGUAAACUUCUUUUAUAAAGGAAUAAAACGAGGCACGUGUGCCUUUUUGCAUGUACUUUAUGACUAAGGAUCGGCUAACUCCGUGCCCGCAGCCGGGGUAAUCCGGAGGAUCCGAGCGUUAACCGGUUUUCUUGGGUUUAAAGGGAGCGGAGAUGGGUUGUUAAGUCAGUUGUGAAAGUUUGCGGCUCAACCGUAAAAUUGCAAUUGAUACUGGCAGUCUUGAGUACAGUAGAGGUAGGCGGAAUUCGUGGUGUAGCGGUGAAAUGCUUAGAUAUCACGAAGAACCCCGAUUGCGAAGGCAGCUUACUAAACUGUGACUGACAUUGAUGCUCGAAAGUGUGGGUAUCAAACAGGAUUAGAUACCCGUGUAGUC